UUUUGAAAUUGUCACAGAGAUUCCAGUUGUGUCAAGGACAAUCAUCUUCUUGGAACUGGAUUGAAGUCAUCAAUUCCCCGAACCAUCCAAUUCCCUAUAUAUCGCACAUUAAAUGACAUAGCAGUCAUUCUCAAGACACAAUUAUGUUGCUAAUAUGCAGCUCAUAGCAAGCAGUAGAAGAACUGGCUGAUGGAAGUCUUGAACUUUCUCAUGCAAAGAGUUCUUGUGAAGCCAACUCUGCCUCUGCAAUGUGAGGAAAAAAUGAACAGCAAACGCAAACUCACCACAGUAAUUCCAUCAUUUAGCAAAGACUCUCCAAAUAUCAUCAUGUAAAGCUGCUCAUUAACAGAGGCCUCUUCAAAAACAGCUAGUGCUGCCACGGGAUCCACAGCUGAAAUCAGGCUGCCAAAGAGCAAGUUCUGCAGCAGGUUAACAUCCGUGAGACCAAAGGCUUCGAUCUGGCAGAUCCCAUAGAGAGACAGUCCGAUGCCAAAGGCAUUGAGGAGGGAUCCCAGUACAGACCACCACAGGAUGGACACAAAAUUUUCAAAAAAGGGGCGAGUAGGCAUAAAGUACCCCUCCUCAAGGACAAUGGGUGGGAGGAGAUACAGGAAGUAAAUGUUAGUAGUCAUAACUGGUGGGGAUUUGUGAUCAGUGCCAAAAAUGAUUGCUCCAACCAGUGCCCCGAUAACUAUCAGAAGGCAGCAUUCCGGCAUGAGGCUUGGCAGUCGGUGGUAGAGAUGGAAACCUUGAAUAAAACAUGGGGAAAUGAGCUGAGUUAAAAAGGUUUUCAUGCUGCCAUAUUUCCAAUUCUUCCUGACUCUGGACAGAUGUUUCCCCAACUUGCAAUAUGUUGCAC